GACGAACGCUGGCGGCGUGCUUAACACAUGCAAGUCGAACGGAAAGGCCCUGCUUUCGGGGUACUCGAGUGGCGAACGGGUGAGUAACACGUGGGUGAUCUGCCCUGCACUUCGGGAUAAGCCUGGGAAACUGGGUCUAAUACCGGAUAGGAGCCAUUUUUAGUGUGAUGGUUGGAAAGUUUUUUCGGUGUAGGAUGAGCUCGCGGCCUAUCAGCUUGUUGGUGGGGUAAUGGCCUACCAAGGCGGCGACGGGUAGCCGGCCUGAGAGGGUGGACGGCCACAUUGGGACUGAGAGACGGCCCAGACGCCUACGGGAGGCAGCGGUGGGGAAUAUUGCACAAUGGGGGCGAGCCUGAUGCAGCGACGCCGCGUGGGGGAUGACGGCCUUCGGGUUGUAAACUCCUUUCGCUAGGGACGAAGCUUUUUGUGACGGUACCUAGAUAAGAAGCACCGGCUAACUACGUG
rnacentral:rRNA from 1 species